AUUCCAGCUCCAAUAGCGUAUACUAAAGUUGUUGCAGUUAAAAAGCUCGUAGUUGAAUUUCUGGUCUUGGACAGCGGUCUGCCUCAAACGAGGUACGCACCAUCUAUCCGAGUCCAUCCUCGGGGAAAACAUGUCUGUGAUUCAGUUCAUGGGCAUGGGAUCCUCGUCAUUUACUGUGAGCAAAAUAGAGUGUUCAAAGCAGGCUUAUGCCGUUGAAUAUUUUAGCAUGGAAUAAUAAGAUAAGACCUUGGUCUAUUUUGUUGGUUUGUACUCCAAGGUAAUGAUUAAUAGGGACAGUUGGGGGUAUUCGUAUUCAAUUGUCAGAGGUGAAAUUCUUGGAUUUAUUGAAGACGAACUACUGCGAAAGCAUUUACCAAGGAUGUUUUCAUCG
rnacentral:rRNA from 1 species